rnacentral:rRNA from 1 species
AUGGAGGGCCUGGCGCAGCGCGCGGCGCUGCUGCGGGAGUCGCUCGGGAAGAGCCAGGCGGCCACCGACGCCGUCGUCUCCAUCCUCGGCUCCUUCGACAGCCGCCUCUCCGCGCUCGACGCCGCCAUGCGCCCCAUCCAGCUCCGCACCCACGCCGUCCGCACCGCCCACGAGAACAUCGACCACACCCUCCGCUCCGCCGACGUCAUCCUCACCCAGUUCGACCGCACAAGAGAGGUACUGUCUGUCCCCCCAACGAUCCAGCCCCCUCCCCUCCCUGCCCGUCGGCGACGAGAAGGGUCCGCCGGCGAGGAUGAGAGGGGGGGCGGCGGCGGCGGGCGAGAAGGGCGUGGGCGAGCAGCGGGCGGCGUGGGGCGGCGGCGGCCGAGAAGGGCGUGGGCGAGAAGGGCGUGGGUGUCGGGGCGUGGUGGAGAGGUUAGCGAGGGAGAGAGAGAAGCGUGCGAGAGAGAGGGGCGAGUGGUGGGGUACCGCGUUUGGUUAGCGACGGGGAUUUCGUUAACGAUGAUUUUCGUUAACGGAUGUUUUAAACAAUGGCAUGAUGGAUAA